ACGUAGGUAACCUGCCCUAGAGAUUGGGACAACUUCGGGAAACCGGAGCUAAUACCGAAUAAUGCAGCGGACCCAUUGGGUACAGUUGUUAAAGCGGGCUUCGGCUCGCGCUUUAGGAUGGGCCUGCGUCCGAUUAGCUAGAUGGUGGGGUAAUGGCCUACCAUGGCGACGAUCUCUAGCUGGUUUGAGAGGAUGAUCAGCCACACUGGGACUGAGACACGGCCCAGACUCCUACGGGAGGCAGCAGUGGGGAAUAUUGCACAAUGGGCGAAAGCCUGAUGCAGCCAUGCCGCGUGUGUG
rnacentral:rRNA from 1 species